UACGUAGGGUGCGAGCGUUGUCCGGAAUUAUUGGGCGUAAAGAGCUCGUAGGCGGUGUGUCACGUCGGCCGUGAAAACCUGCAGCUUAACUGUGGGCGUGCGGUCGAUACGGGCAUCACUGGAGUUCGGCAGGGGAGACUGGAAUUCCUGGUGUAGCGGUGAAAUGACGCAGAUAUCAGGAGGAACACCGGUGGCGAAGGCGGGUCUCUGGGCCGAUACUGACGCUGAGGAGCGAAAGCGUGGGGAGCAAACAGG
rnacentral:rRNA from 1 species